CUCAUCAGUUCCACAAAGAUUCUUCAGAAACAGAGUGAUGCUAGGUUAUGCCUAGUCCAGCAGGCCCAAGUCCAAACACCCCUGGAAGUCAGAACAGGCACCAAAGACCUGUUCUUCGGUCACCAGAAAAUGAGUUCAGAAGAGGAGGCCUAAACAUACCGAUAUGUAAUAAGGAAAAACAACUACAGAAGGUCACCAUUGUAGUUCUGUCCUCGUAUCAUCUGGGUAUCUGUUACUGCCACUGCCACCUGGAACCUGGGACAAGAAAGACUAAAAACAAGGAAGGUAUACAGGAAGCUUGUGAUUUCUGCAUAUUGAUUUUGUAUCCUGAGACUUUGCUGAAGUUGCUUAUCUGUUUAAGGAGAUUUGGAACUGAGAUGAUGGAGUCUUCUAAAUAUACAAUCAUGUCAUCUACAAAGAGUGGAAAAUCCAACAAAACCUGGAGUCCUGCUUACUUCUUACUGUUCCUUGUUGCAUGGCUUACUCUCUCCCUGAAAAGAAAACUGGUGAUUUCAUUAUUUUAA
rnacentral:lncRNA from 13 species